UACGUAGGGUGCAAGCGUUAAUCGGAAUUACUGGGCGUAAAGCGCACGUAGGCGGAUAUUUAAGUCAGGGGUGAAAUCCCAGAGCUCAACUCUGGAACUGCCUUUGAUACUGGGUAUCUUGAGUAUGGAAGAGGUAAGUGGAAUUCCGAGUGUAGAGGUGAAAUUCGUAGAUAUUCGGAGGAACACCAGUGGCGAAGGCGGCUUACUGGUCCAUUACUGACGCUGAGGUGCGAAAGCGUGGGGAGCAAACAGG
rnacentral:rRNA from 1 species